AUAUCCGCCGAUCCUUCCCAGAUCCUCGCAACGCCUUCCUUCCUCCUUCCCCUAAUCCACAUCUUCCUUCUCCCAGCAUCUCCUUUCCACCAUCCCCUCACCGAAGGCAAGCACAGCCCCGUCGAGUCUACGACGCCCAGGCCGACAUCGAACCUUUGGGGUACCACGCUGGGCCGCCGAGGGGUCUCCAUCCACCGGUCGACGGGGAGCAGCACCGUGGAGGACGCACGGCCGAACGGUGCGACGGCCUCCACUUCCUGAGCGUUGGCGGACGGGGUCUACGGCGCCAACGGGUGUCUUCCCGUUCAGACGCGACCGGUGCCCGUGUCGCUGCAAGGCGCUUGCCGCCUCGAUGACUGGCUCGUCCAUAUAAGCAGCGAGGCCCCUAAAGGCCGACCUGGCGCUGGUGCCGUUGAUGUGGCUUGUGCCCGAGUCGCUGCAGACCGGAGAGAGAGGAUCUGCUCCUAGUAUAGGACGCCAUGGAAGGUGCUGCUCCGAUGAGGAGAAACUGCUGCUACAGGACGUUCUCCUCCUCUCCUACCCCCACACGUGGCAUUGGUGCCCCAUCAUCGAGUGCACGGAUGCAACAACAGCAAGAAGAUCAUGGCCAUGUGUAUCAUCAAUCACACCAUGGAGAUCAUCCAUCUCCUCACCGAUGCUAACUCAAUCCAAAUCACCGCCGAUGUUAUCAUCCACAUGUAUCUCUCUUGGUUUCCUUUAUUCACUCAUGCCUUUGUGACAUUAGUAUGUGUGCGCUGACUAGUAUUGUUGGAUCUUGCCAGUUGAAUGGAUGGUUGUGGUAGUAGAAUGAUAUUUUUGCUUAGGUACAAUCAUACUUAUGGAGUAGUAAAUAACAUGUCAUGUCAUUCUCCAAGUCUGCACAUAGCAUUGUUAUUUUAGGAGCAGAUUUCUCAUCCUUAAGAAACCUGAACUUGCUUAUUUCUGGUAUGCAAUCAUAUGACAUGUCUCAUGUAAAUGAAUAUGGGUUCUUGUCAAUUUUUUAAUCUACAAUUGAUCUAGUGUUUUUUUACAUGGUAGCUUAAUAUCCUCCUUCCUUUUCUAAUAUGCAAACUUCUAAUAUGUGAGGUGCAUAAGUGCAUGAAGUGCGGUUUGCAUUAGGCUGCUCCCGCUCGUCGGCGGUCUGGUCCAGCGUCACUUAACCGUUGUGACCUGGCUGGUUUGGUUUAGCUUCGAGUUGCGCACCGCGGAGUGGGAGGCCGACACGCUCGUGAACAUCAAGGCCGGAUCAAGUACGAUGGUGAAACUAUAGAUUGAGUCACAACUUAAAUCAAUAGUGGAUGCUUUUACUACAUGUACUUGUGCUUAUGCUUUAGACAUUUACACUUGUAAAACUGUUCUGAUCCCUCAGUUACAUGCUUGUUGACACAGUAUUACUCCAGUUAGUUUGGCGAUAGUUAUUUUUAACAAUGGUGCUAGAAUAAUUGUAUGGCGUAUGUUAUGUUGGACUCAUUAACUAGAACUAUUUUUUUUA